UGUUCAGGCAGUAGAGUGUAAAUUAAAUAUUAGAUCUAAGAGGAUUUCACAUACUUCAUAGCAUGACCUAGUUGGGAUAUUUAUUUGCUGUUCUCCUGGUUCUCCCAAAUUAAUAAUUGAGUAAAGUUGUGUUUUGACAUUCAGAGCUGAUUUGCUUACAUUUUGCUGAACUGCACCUGCUUUGUAAGAGAGUGGGUGUGAGUCGGGAGGCUGGGAGAAGUGGGGGCAGACAACAGAAGCUUUAACAGAGAUGCGUGGAUUGAACAUUUUAUACAUGAAAAUACAAUUCGGCCCUCAAAUUGUGGGUCAUAAACUAUGUGACAAGCCCGGGAGUAGACUCCAGUGGCAGAAUAAAGUCACAGAUGGUACUGGCUUCUCUUAGCAAGUUUGUGUUGGGGACACGAUAGCAAAUACACAAGCACCAGCUGAACAGCAGAGUACGAAGACAGACACGCGUCCCCCUUUCCACUGCACAUACACUCAUGAUCAGAUGCACAUCUGUACAUAUCUGGCCACACACGAAAGACCCAUCCAGGUUUUGAGAUUUGGGCCAUCCAAACCUACAAGUAAAAUCUCCCCACUUUGAAUCUGCAUUUCAUCGUAGCACUGUGGUCUGACAUGGGCUCUGGAGCCAGAGGAUUUGGGUGAGAAUCUGGCUCCUUCCGUACCAGCUGUUGGAAUGUAUACGUGCCACAUAACCUCUCUGUGCUUCAAUGUCCUCAUCUGUAAAAUAGAGAUUAUACUUUGCAGGAUUUCUUAGCGGUUUAAAGACGUUAAAACGGGUGCAUGCUUAGAAUGGUGCAUGACACAUGGGAGUGUUCGAUAGUCGUGGCCAUUACUCCUAAGAUCUCACCGCUCACAGAGGGAGAUGGCAGUCAUUCAGGCCAUAGGGGGAACAGGAGGCUCAUUUGUAGGAUGAGAAAGUAGGACAAUUAAAAGAAUAUGUGCUUGGGUUUAGGAGAGGAGAAGGUCCUGGCAACUGGGUUCUUCCCUUACAGCCACUGAGCCCCGACUCCAUUCCAUUCAUCAAGGAUACAAGAGAAUCUGCCACCCACACAUCAUGUAAGGGUGAUGGGAAAACAGAGAUCCUUGAGGCAUGGAAUCCACAGGGUGCUUCAGGAGGUGAAACAAAUAGAGAAAAACAAAGAGUCUUAGAGCAUGAAAAACACCACCAAAACUUAAGAAGACUCAUGAAGUUGUGGGUAGGAAGGUCAGAAAAGACUUGUGUGUUUUGGAGGAGAAGGUGUUACAGGUGUCAGGAACAGUAUGGAUCAGAGCAGGGAGGCAGGAAAGCUUCGCCUUUAUGUGAGAACAGGGCAGGGUCUAAUUUGGUUGGGGCAAACUAGGAUAAGAAGGGUUGCUUUGGGCUACCAAUGGAGAGAGGAAAUGAAAAACGGAGGUGAGACUUGGCACGUUGUCGACAGGCAACAGAGGGUCACUAAAGGUACCUAAAUGGGGAUAUUGGAGGUCAAAUCUUGUUAUAUUUUAAAGCUAAGAGAAUCUAGUGGGUAAGGAAGACAGAGGAGUCCAAGAUUACAACAUAUUUUUCUACCUGGGUGACUGAGGACAUGGUGAUAUUUGCCAGAAAUAGGCAAGUCAGAAAAAGGGACUGGUUCAGUAACAGAAAUUGCUCUUCCGGGACAGUUUUGGUGGCAAAUGUCAGUGAGUCAUCCCAGUGGCAGUGACCUGCUAGCUGUUGGAAAUGGAGGUGCCAAAGAGAGAGGCUGAGGACAAGGAUAUGGAUUAGGAGCUAGCUCCAAAGACAGUCAUAGAAUGGGAAUGUAUCAUGGCACAGGAAGGGACUGAGGGAGAAGGGAAGAGGGCUAAGGCUAGACCUUGGCAACAGAACACUGAUGGGAAAGAUGGAAGAAGAGGAGCCUGAGGAAGGCUAAAGAGGAAUAAUUACUAAUGAGGAGAAGCAAGGCAGUUCCGUGUCAUGGAAACCAACAAAAAUGGAGACGUCAAGAGGGUAAGACCCAAGAAAAGCCAGUGACCUCGGAGAGGCGUCCGCAUAUGGUUCUGGGAUGAGGCCAUAUCGCCGGGUCCAAAUAAUUUUUGAAUUAUAUGGAAAAAAACCCUCAGACUGUGUGAGGACCACACGUUUAAGAAUAAGGGAAAAUAAGGAGUGAGAGAGUAAGGUAGUGCAAGGAGGAGGUGGCUCAAAGGGUUAUGGGAAACCCGAGGUGCUUUGUAGAAUGAAGGGAAAGACGUGCCGUGAGCUCACUCAGUCCCGCCUACCUUCCUAAUGCAGGAAACUAAGAUCAGAAAAGAGAACAAGAGACGGAGGCUGGAUGGUUUGCCGGAUACCAGAAUAUGAAGAAAUUGAUUCCAAGGAUGCCUUCACCCUGCCUCAUGAGGCAGCUUCUCUUUGGUACCACUCCUCCCUUCAGCCACGAUGUCGGAGUUCCUGAGCCCUGCCUCGAGUGCAUGAGGUCUGACCGGUGGGGAGGCGGGUAGAGUGAACGCUGAACCCCAGGUGUCACGUGGCAUGGCUCGCCGUGCUGCAAGAGUGCGUGGGGGUGGAAAUGCAAUCUCAUUGAAAAAUUAACUGAAACAGCCGCUGGCAAGCUCCGCUACAAAGUAACUUCAUGCAUUUCAGUCUUCAAAAUGACUUUUGGACAAUCUUUUGUUUAUCUCCAGCAUUGCUCUUCUCCAUUAGCAGAAAGAUACACACGCGUUAGCUUGUGUGUAUCUACAGGGACGUCUCCCUCUCUCUCCCCCUACUCUUUCCACCCUCCCCACCCCCAAAAGCUGACGUGUUAAUUAGUGGGGAUAGUGCAUUGUUCAAACUGUCACAAUGUGUGAAGAAGCCAGCCUGAAGAUGAGGUAGGCCAUCAGCAUGAAUUCCGUCCUCCAGGAGAGAUGGGAAAUUCUUGCGUGCCGGAGAGAGUAAUCACUUUAUUUCAGUCUCAGCUGCAUACCGGGUUUCGUCGGCUACUGUAAGGUUGAGUAAUCCCAGAUUGCUAGGGCUGCUCUCCCAUGCAUUAAAUGAGAGAAUAUGCAAAUACUAGGUAACCUGUAAGUCCUGAAUAAAGGUUAUCCUUUUAUCCUA